rnacentral:rRNA from 1 species
GACGAACGCUGGCGGCGUGCUUAACACAUGCAAGUCGAACGAAGUGGCGAGCGGGUGAGGAAUACGUGGGUAACCUGCCCUCCUUUAUGGGAUAAACGUGGGAAACGGUGGGUAAUACCGGAUAAACGUGGGUGGGCUGGCGGCCUAUGGGCUUGGUGGUGGGGUGAUGGCCUACCAAGGCGGUGACGGGUAGCCGGGCUGAGAGGGUGACCGGCGACAGUGGGACUGGCAUACGGCCCAGACGCCUACGGGGGGGAGAAGUGGGGGCUAUUGCACAAUGGGUGAAAGACUGAUGCAGCGACGGCGAGUGAGGGAUGAAGGUUUUCGGGUUGUAAAGCUCGUUCGCUAUCGAACGGGUAUGUGGAGAAGAAGCGCCGGCUAACUACGUGCCAGCAGCCGCGGUAAUAC